GACGAACGCUGGCGGCGUGCCUAAUACAUGCAAGUCGAGCGAAGUUUUUCUGGUGCUUGCACCGGAAAAACUUAGCGGCGAACGGGUGAGUAACACGUAAAGAACCUGCCUCAUAGACUGGGACAACUAUUGGAAACGAUAGCUAAUACCGGAUAACAGCAUUAACUGCAUGGUUGAUGUUUAAAAGUUGGUUUUGCUAACACUAUGAGAUGGCUUUGCGGUGCAUUAGCUAGUUGGUGGGGUAAAGGCCUACCAAGGCGACGAUGCAUAGCCGACCUGAGAGGGUGAUCGGCCACACUGGGACUGAGACACGGCCCAGACUCCUACGGGAGGCAGCAGUAGGGAAUCUUCCGCAAUGGGCGAAAGCCUGACGGAGCAACGCCGCGUGAGUGAAGAAGGAUUUCGGUUCGUAAAGCUCUGUUGUUAGGGAAGAAUGAUUGUGUAGUAACUAUACACAGUAGAGACGGUACCUAACCAGAAAGCCACGGCUAACUACGUGCCAGCAGCCGCGGUAAUACGUAGGUGGCAAGCGUUGUCCGGAAUUAUUGGGCGUAAAGCGCGCGCAGGUGGUUUAAUAAGUCUGAUGUGAAAGCCCACGGCUCAACCGUGGAGGGUCAUUGGAAACUGUUAAACUUGAGUGCAGGAGAGAAAAGUGGAAUUCCUAGUGUAGCGGUGAAAUGCGUAGAGAUUAGGAGGAACACCAGCGGCGAAGGCGGCUUUUUGGCCUGUAACUGACACUGAGGCGCGAAAGCGUGGGGAGCAAACAGG
rnacentral:rRNA from 1 species